GUCUCUGUGGCGCAAUCGGCUAGCGCGUUUGGUUGUUAACCAAAAGGUUGGUGGUUCGAACCCACCCAGAGGCG
rfam:Gorilla gorilla gorilla genomic chromosome, chr1, whole genome shotgun sequence